CAUGCCUGGUUUUGCUUAUGCAAUGUUAGCACAAAAAAGUUAAUUAUAAAAUUACCAGAAUUAAAAAAAAAAAAGACAUAUGUUAUGUUAAGCAUUUACUAUUUAUAUUAAGCAUAUAUUAAUAUAUGAAUAAAAUCAAUGAAUCAAAAUAUCAAACAGUAAUAAAAUCUGGAUCAUAACUACAAGCAGUUGCUUAGCUGAUGCUUAUAAACAAAGACAUUGACGACAGCGAUGAAGUGUCCAACAUUUUCUUUCAACUUUCCGGUUGGGUAAAAACAUCAUAUAACUAAAAAUCAUAUAUGUACUUGACUCCAGUGUAUACUGCAUUUACAAGUAAUGUAAGGUCACAGUAUGGUCACUAAACAGUAAGAAACAACAAUAAACAAAUAGGUCAGGUUAUGUAUGCUUCAGCAUGAAAAAAAAAGAAAUAUGAAAAAAAAAUAAGACGAAUACUAUAUCAAGCAUUCAUCAAUAUUUAAAUGAAAUUAAUAAAUGAAAAUAUCAAAUUAUAAUAAAAAAUUAAUCAUAACAAUGAGCAGUUGCACAGCUGAAACAUGUAAACAAAGACGGUGAUGGCAAUGCAGCAUACGCCAUUUUAUUUUUACCUUUCUGGGUGGGCAAAAUAUUAUAUUACUGUGAAUUAUAUAUAUACUUGACCCCAGUACAUACUGUAUUGUGGGGCCCCAUGACUAGCAUUUUUCAAACUAUCAAUUUUAAAUCAAGCGAUAGGAUAGAAAGUACCAAGUUUCAUAACUAACGAUCAAAGACGCAGACUAACGAAACUAUUCUGAUGGGCUGGGAGGAGUGAGUGAGCAAGUUGCACCAAGAUGGCCUGAGAAGUCAUUGCAUGGGGAGUUGCACAGGAAGGGUAGGCACCUACAUCCUGCAGUCUGUUGACCCUUUAGCCAAGCAACCUAGAACAAUGCUACAUGUAGGAGCUAUAAAGUUUUGUCAAGAUGGCAGCGUUAUGAAUCAUUGUUUUGGGGCGUGUGCAGGUGGAUGAGUUUGUAAACUGAGCAGACAUGAUACUAAGUGUGGGUAUUGUCACCUUUUCUGCAUCUUCUUACCCUCUACAAAUGUUUCAUUCAACUAUGCUUGCUAGUUCUGGUAAAGGGUCACCUGCAAGAGCUGCUGUGAAAAUAUUGUGAGGGAGAUGAUAGGUGGGACACCAUAUUGGUUGUGAUUAGCUGAUCUACUGUUCUGGCUGACUCAUCACCUCACUCAUGGAUCAACUGCACGCAGGUGUGUGAUGUUGCCCCUGUUGCCUGGCUCAGCCCUGUUAACCCUUCAUAUCAUAAACUGCUGCGAAAUGAGAAGCAUGAGAUGCUGAGGGAGGCUGCUGCGCAUCUGGCUGCGCAGGAAGGUGGCAAUGAUAUUGGCGGCAGUGCGGGCUCUCACGUGAAACAGCAACAGACAAAUACGUCUGGCACGUACAAGGCCACCAAGGUGUUGUGGAUAUUGAUCAGAGGAUGGAAUCUGAUGCAUGCCUGGACUUCUGUUUUGUUCAUCUUGAGUAAGCAAUAUAAUGAAUUUGUGAAACACUGAUUUAACAACUGUCUUGGAAAUUAUGACAAUAUUUUCAUUAAAAAUUAAGUGUUUGAAGAAAACAAGCACAUUUUUCAGCAAAAGAAAACUAGGUAGUCCGAGUAAAAGAGGGUAAAGAAGCUCUGAGAAGUAAGCAUAGAAUUAAUGUGAAUCUUGUCAUGUUACCUGAAAUGCAAGGCUAAAUCACAACACUUCCUGUAGUAUUAACAAACUUUCCAUAAUUCCCAACAUUAUUUUACACACAGAGAAUGAAACAGCACAUUUUGAAUAAAUAGAAUUAGAAAUGAAACAUCACUAUCUACAAGUAUAGAAAAUAACAGCUCCAUAUGCUGAAACAAGACAUUAGAAAGGUGGAGAAUGCUUUCCACCAAAUUUCCAAAAUAUAAAAUGAACAAAUCAAUAAAUAAAUUAAAAGAAGGCAAAGUGGUGCAGGCUUUUGCUUAAAAAUUUGCGUGAUUCAGACAAGAGGCCUAGAUGGCAAACUCAAUAAUGACAGACAAAAUGACAGCAAGUUCUUGUGCUUAGUAAUGUAAGUAAUUAGUCAAGGAGAGAGAAUCUAAGUUAUACAUUUACAGUGUCAUGAAUGAACAUACAUACGCACUCUCACGCAUGGUCGAAUGUGCACACACGCACACACACACACACACAUGCAUACACACAUGCACAUGCACACACACACACACACACACUCACACACACACACACACACACACACACACACACACACACACGCACACUAGUUAUUGUCAUAAAAGCACUGAAGGCACUCACACAUCUCUUUUUGGAUCACUUACCUCAUCCUUAAUAAUAAAAAGACUUAACAUAAUCUGAAAAAAGAAAAUUGCAAAAAAAAAAAAAAAAAAAAGAGAGAAAAGAGAAAUGCAAAUGAGUCACAGAGGAGUUGCCAAGAUUCAAAUAAUAUAUAAAAAUGCAUUUAAACUACAACAGUUAAAUUAUCAUUGAACACUAAGACUUGGAAGUGAGGCACAUCAAGGAGAAUUUCAAUAUUCAAUUAAAAUUAAUUUGCUACACUUAGCUAUGAAGUAUGAAAUGUCAGCAAAAAUUUACGAAAAAUAGAGGGAUUUCUUUACUGCAGAAGUUUUGAAAUAAAAAAAGAUAUUGCAUACACUGCUAAAAUAAAUGUGAAAAAGUCAAAGUAUAAAGACAAUUUUUAAACUAUACUGGCGACCAUACAAUCUGAGGGUCCCCUCUAAUUUAACAAAUAAUUUCACAAUCAGAAAUUAAGAGAAAAGACCAAUACUCACUAAAGCACUUCAGCAACACAAACCAAAGAGAAGAUGCACAUAUAUAUAACAUCAAACAUUGAAACAAAUAAUUUUAAUACUAUCAAUUUAAUGGCAGUUUGAAGAAGUAUGAAAAAUGAAUUUGACAAUCAAAACAACAAAAAGUUUCUAAGCUCUAUUAGAAGUGGCUUUUCUAUUAUGUAAAAUGAGGUAGCUAUUAUUCCCUCAUACAAGUUGAAUCAAAUGGUUAAAUGACACAAACAAGAUGUAUUCUGCAUGCAUGUAUCCUGUGAUAAAAGAUAACUGUGUGCUUUCAUAAGUGAUAUCUACAUUCAUGUAAGUCAUCUUAAUGCUUCUUUAAAAAGUCAGCCAAUAUGAAAGUAAUAACAUAGGUUGGACAUGACAUCAGUCUCUUUUUCCUCUUUCUGCUUGACUGGAAAAGGUACAAAAGACAUGAUAAAAAUACAUUUGGUUAUAUCUUCUCUAAAUAUACAUGCAUAUAAUGUACCACUUCAACUACAUAAUGUCAAACUGAAUCAUGAUGAGUGUUUGUACAGUCAAUUAAAUUUCAUCUGUCCAUCCACAAGCGUGAAUUUUGAUAAAUAGGGCACAUGUGCAGUGCUAGUUUGUGACUGAGUGAAAAUCAACUGUUGAGGUAAAUGUUCAAGCUAUUGUUUCAAUGAUAUAUUUGAAUGUUUAUGUAAAUAAAUAAAUAAAAAUCUCACACUUUAUAUAAAUCCUAUACAUGCCACUUUGCAUCGAUAAUAUACUACACAAGCACACAAAAGACAAACUUGCAUCAAACAGCAUAGUCAGAUCAUACUCGAAGGAACAUCAUAUCAUCAUCAUCUGUUUAAUGUCAUGUUUUCACAUAAUCUCUUAUGAGGUUAGACAGUCAGUGACACUCCCAAAUUUUAAAUAGUGAAUCCUCAACAUUUGCAGAUUUGACAUCCACAGUUUUAAAUACCCCCAGGGGUAACCCAUGGAUAUUAUCAAGCUAAAUAUUGGAGUAUCUGCAGGUUUUAUUGAGCAUUUUUGUGCCCAGCCAAAGUGCUUGUGGCUCACUACACAAAUCACCAUUAUCUUGUGCACUUUCACCCAGAGUCUAAUGGGUGAACCAAAUGUAGCUGAGACUUGUAAACAAUGGAGAUAACUGGCCACUCACUCCAUCCUUGCUCAACUCACGAGUUAGCUAACAGGCAUCUGCUAGAUCUUGCAGUAUGCUUGUAUAGCAGACUGUAGGCCUAUAAAUUGAUAGAGUAGCAACUACUGACAGCAACGUGAGUAGUACGACAGAGUGAGCUUUGAGGGCAACUGAGGGGAAAGUGUGGGUGGGCUGGCCAAGCCCACCCACUCUUCUCCCCUCCUGCAAGUGCAUGAGGACUAAGGACAGCAGUGGGGUUGGGGUGAGAGGAGAGUGUGAGCAGUCGUAAGUCACAUCACUUUAUUGUGGCAUGAAAAUGGAAACCAAAUUUUAAUUGCACUUUUCUAGAAACUAGGUAUAAAUAAAUAUAAAAUGCCUACACUUUUAUUUUUUUCAUGACAUUAGUAAACCUUGGGGAUUUAUAAAUUCAACUAUUAAAGAAGAAACAUCUGUGAUUAGAUUUUUUAUAGGUCAUAUUUUAUCAGUAUCAUGUAAAAAAACAUUUAUAACUUUGAAUUAAAAAAAAUUUCAACUAAAUAAGAAGAUACUGAAAAAGUAAUCACAUACGUUUGUUAGGAUAAUAAAAAAAGUAUCUUAUGUGCAUGUCUGAAAGAAAUCAGUGUUCAAAUGAUAGAGCAACAAGUCAAUUUAUUUUCAAAAAAUGGAAUUUUUUUUUGUUUGAUCAGCUUUAAAUUAUAUAAUAAUUAUGGUACUCUUAUACACAAAAAAAUGCUUAAUCAAGACCAUAGGUGCAAUUUAAGGCCAUGGCAUACUCUUAAGAGGUAUGUACAGUACUUGUAUGUACUAAACACUGAGUAGGUUAACAAGGCUGACCAGGGCAGACAGGGCAAUGCUUUCAGUUGACCCGUGGGUGAGGGGAUGAGCCACAUGGAACAGUGGAUUAGCUGAUCCCAACUUAUAUGGCAUCCCACACAACAGUUUCCUCACAGUAUUUCCUCACCAUCUCUUAGAAGCAACCCUUUACCGGAACAACAAUCAUAGUUGAAUUAAACAUUUGUAGAAGGGGAAGCAGUGGCUGAGUGGUUUAAGUGGCAGCGUUGAGUCCAGGACAACGCGGGUUUGUGCCCCGCCCAGUGCCAGAUGCUGGGAUUUUUCAGUCACCACCAACAUGCUGGACAUGCUGUCCAGAAGACCACCAAUCAGCCCUGAAUCUAGAUUCUCUCUUUAACCCUUAGAGUACGGGUGGCGAUAUAUUUCUCUGGAUGCUGUGCACGGCGAAUAUUUAGACAUUUAAAAGAGGUGGAAAUGGUAUCUUUCUUCUUUAUAAUAUUUGUAUAUUCAUCUAGUAUAUAUGGUGGUGUAAUAAAACUUCUCUCCUAAUAAUAAUAAAAAAGUUAUGACAGCCGAAAAUAUUACGCAUUUUCUCAUGGCCGUGACGCGUCGUGUGGAAGCACCCCACUCGCUCUCUCUCUCUCUCUCUCUCUCUCUCUCUCUCUCUCUCUCUCUCUCUCUCUCUCUCUCUCUCUCUCUCUCUCCCUACUUGCCCUUCCCUCCUCUGUCAAUGUCACUACCAUAGCAGUCAUCAGAGUCACUGUCACUUUGAUUCGCCCGCGCUCUACUACCGCCUGGAGCAGAGGAACUGUUUGACGCGUCACAAGACAUGCCAGAUGUAUUCCAAACAAAAGUGGAAAAUGAUCUGUGGCCUUCGGUAGACCGGUCGCUGGAGACGAAUGAGUGUGUACGGAUGCCAGAUGCCUCCACCAUUCUUCUGAGUCAAGAACUGGCAGUAUAUUUGAAACGUAGGGAGCGUAGAGUGUGAUGAUUAUAUAUAUGAUCCCCAUACGAGUGGGGCGUGUGGUAGCGCACAUAUAUAUACAAUCGCCGUAAUCUAAGGGUUAAAAGAGAGGAUCAUUGAUGCGCUCCCAGGGGCAGCAUGAGCCAAGCAAGAUGGCACCACUAUAAACACACUUGCCUGCACCACAAUGUGCUGGGGCCAUCCAUCAAGCCCCAUCAAGAAAGCCUACCAAAGCCAAGGGUGGAAACGUCUAAAAAAAAAAAUAAUAAUAAAUAAAUAAAAAUAAAAACUUUGUUGAUUUCUUCUUUUAGCUUCAAUUUGCAAACAAAAGGUAAUUAAAGAAUAUCCCAAAGCUAAGUAGCCAAGACAAUACAGCUCUGCUAAGGUUACAAGAGAGGGCUACCUGUUUCACCAAGAACCAGCUGUGAGCUGGGAUUGAACUUGCAACCUCAUGGUCACAAGGUAAACACCCAACCCAAUGAGCUACCUGUCAGGUUCUUCCUUGCACAUGUCAACUACCACUCUUUCAAAGUAUGUUUCUUCCUCUUGGCACAUUCAUACAUAUUAAUUUCUAUACUUUUUGUAUUCUUCCUUUGUUCUAUUGUUACCUCUCAUUCUCAUCUUGGUCCAUACAGAAUCCCUUCCUUUUCAUGCUAUCUCAUACAGAACUUCUGUUGAACCAAUCCUUUUUCAAGUUCCUUUUCCUUCCUAUUUUUGACACAUGUUUUUCUACACCUCAGCAGUGAAGGAUAGUUUCUAUGUUUCUGCAAUAUUAAUAGUAGUGAAAUAAAUAAUAAAGAAGCACUUACUGUGAUGUCUAUAAGAUACAGCAUUAGUUACUGUCAUGUCCAGUGAUUAGCUGGUUGGUAGACUAAAAGGUAUUGAAAACCAGAUGAACACUGGGCAUGAGGCA